rnacentral:lncRNA from 1 species
GGGAUUCUAUAUGCAUUCAUUGCUUUCAUUUAUAAUUGAGUAAUCCAGAAAAGCGGAUUUUACCCCAUAUAUCAUUCUUCACUGUGUGAACGAGGUCGUGAAUUUUAGAGGAAGAUAUCAAGAAAAAAUUAAAAUGGCGCAGACUACGGAUAUGCAGCAGGAAUGGAUUAAAAUGUUUAAUGAGCUUGAUGAAAACAAAGAUGGAGAGCUUUGUAAAGACGAAAUAAAAUAUUUGAUUGAGAGUCUGUGGAGCUAACCCUACGGACGAAGACGUUGACGAAUAUAUAAGAGACGUGGAUAAAAAUGAUGAUAUGAAAAUUAGUUGUGAGGAGUUUUGUUUAUUCAUGGAAAAGCAGUAUGCACAAGGAGCUCCACAAGAUAAAUUACGGGAAGCAUUUGACUGCUUUGACAAAAAUAAAGAUAAUUACAUAGAUCGUGAAGAACUAAAAGAAAUACUGAGGAAAUGCAACUGCGUAGAAGAUCCCGACGACGAAGAUGUGAUAACUAAAGUAAUAGAUUACGCCGACCUAAAUGGGGAUGGUAAAAUUGACUUUGAUGAAUUUGUGAAGCAGUUGCAAUGUGUGAAUUAAGCAACGUGACGUCAUUAUAAAAUAAUAUGUGCAUAUGCGUUCAGGACUAGACAAAAUCAGUGGAAACACAAACACCCCAUACCCAUUCAUUUAAACAGAAGGGUGAAUUUAUAUACAAUAUCCAAACAUAUCAUAAGGUUAUUUUGUGAAAAUAGAAUAUUUCUCGACGUUUCCUUCGUUUUGUAGAUUUUCCUACAAUUUAUUAUUCGUUUUCUUAUAUUUUACUGAUAUUAUGUUUGACAACUUACUUAUAUAGAUACGGUAAAAAAACUGCAAUUCUAGUAUUUUCUAUUUAUACUACCUACCUUUAAUGAUGCAAUAUGUCAAUAUACUUUAAAUGGGAUAGAAUGGUAAAAAAACAAUUACCUAAUCCAAAAGUGCAUUUACUAACUGAAAACACAGACAUAUUAUUACAUGUAGAAACAUUUCCUGAUAUCCCCUGCGGCUACGUGUCAGCCCAAGGCAUCCAUUCAGAAUAGAUAUUUUGCAAAACCUUCAGGCAUACAAAGAUAUAAAAUGUAUUUCACGAAAAUGACAUAUACGAAGUGGCAAUACCAGAAACAACUCGCUAGAAAAAGGGGAUUGCAAAGGAAUAAAACGAUAAAAAACGCAUAUCUAAAGUGAUAAAAGAGGUUCCCUCAGUCAACAUCUAAAAUAUUUCAGGAUAUGUUUACUUCUGAAAAACGUUAUUCCUUUAUCUUCAAAGAUUUUCCUACAUUUUCUUGUUUCCGUAUUUUUACAUUUAUGUUUUGAUUCACAAGGCACUUAUAUAUACACAUAAUUAACCAAAAAAAGUG